rnacentral:tRNA from 1 species
AGCCUUAUAGUCUAGGUAGGACUAUAAAUUGCAAAUUUAUCAGAGGAGGGAUCCUAAGGCUU